rnacentral:tRNA from 1 species
GGCCCAAUGGCCUAAUGGAUAAGACAUCAGUCUUUGGAGCUGCAGUUGUGGGUUUGAGUCCCAUGUGGGUUG